rnacentral:rRNA from 1 species
UCGUCCUACGGGGGGCAGCAGUGAGGAAUAUUGGUCAAUGGGCGGGAGCCUGAACCAGCCAAGUCGCGUGAGGGAAGACGGUCCUAUGGAUUGUAAACCUCUUUUGUCGGGGAGCAAAGAGAUCACGUGUGGUCAAAAGCGAGAGUACCCGAAGAAAAAGCAUCGGCUAACUCCGUGCCAGCAGCCGCGGUAAUACGGAGGAUGCGAGCGUUAUCCGGAAUUAUUGGGUUUAAAGGGUGCGUAGGCGGGACGGUAAGUCAGCGGUAAAAAUGCUGGGCUCAACUCCGUCGAGCCGUUGAAACCGG